AGCGAACGCUGGCGGCAGGCCUAACACAUGCAAGUCGAACGAACCUUUCGGGGUUAGUGGCGGACGGGUGAGUAACACGUGGGAACGUGCCUUUAGGUUCGGAAUAACUCAGGGAAACUUGUGCUAAUACCGAAUGUGCCCUUCGGGGGAAAGAUUUAUCGCCUUUAGAGCGGCCCGCGUCUGAUUAGCUAGUUGGUUGAGGUAAUGGCUCACCAAGGCGACGAUCAGUAGCUGGUCUGAGAGGAUGAUCAGCCACAUUGGGACUGAGACACGGCCCAAACUCCUACGGGAGGCAGCAGUGGGGGAUCUUGCGCAAUGGGGGAAAGCAUGACGCAGCCAUGCCGCGUGAAUGAUGAAGGUCUUAGGAUUGUAAAAUUCUUUCACCGGGGACGAUAAUGACGGUACCCGGAGAAGAAGCCCCGGCUAACUUCGUG
rnacentral:rRNA from 1 species